rnacentral:tRNA from 1 species
GGAGUGGCUAUAGCUCAGAAGCAGAGCCUCUGCUUUGCAUAUAGAAGUUUCCAGGUUCAAUACCUGGCAUCUCCA